UAAGAUGGACUGGUAGGAAGAUUCAGAGACUAGUAAGAUUAUAAAAAAAAUUGGAGGAAGCACCAAGCUCCGUGGCUCAUUACAAUUGGGACUCAAAAUAAUUACACUAUAAGGGACGCAUUGUGCUUAUGAUAAAUUCUACUUGCAUCUUCACGAGCAGAUUUUGGACAAAGUUAUUCCAUAUGCAAGGUACUAAAUUGAAAAGGAGUAUGACAUAUCACCC
rnacentral:lncRNA from 1 species